rnacentral:rRNA from 1 species
UACGAAGGGGGCUAGCGUUGCUCGGAAUUACUGGGCGUAAAGGGAGCGUAGGCGGAUAGUUUAGUCAGAGGUGAAAGCCCAGGGCUCAACCUUGGAAUUGCCUUUGAUACUGGCUAUCUUGAGUAUGGGAGAGGUGUGUGGAACUCCGAGUGUAGAGGUGAAAUUCGUAGAUAUUCGGAAGAACACCAGUGGCGAAGGCGACUCACUGGCCCGAUACUGACGCUGAGGCGCGAAAGCGUGGGGAGCAAACAGG